UACGGAGGAUCCAAGCGUUAUCCGGAUUUAUUGGGUUUAAAGGGUGCGUAGGUGGCUUAUUAAGUCAGGGGUGAAAGACGGUAGCUUAACUAUCGCAGUGCCUUUGAUACUGAUGAGCUUGAAUGAACUAGAGGUAGGCGGAGUGUGACAAGUAGCGGUGAAAUGCGUAGAUAUGUCACAGAACACCAAUUGCGAAGGCAGCUUACUAAAGUAUGAUUGACGCUGAGGCACGAAAGCGUGGGGAUCAAACAGG
rnacentral:rRNA from 1 species